rnacentral:rRNA from 1 species
UACGUAGGGUGCAAGCGUUGUCCGGAAUUAUUGGGCGUAAAGAGCUCGUAGGCGGUCUGUCGCGUCGGCUGUGAAAACCCGGAGCUCAACUCCGGGCCUGCAGUCGAUACGGGCAGACUGGAGUUCGGCAGGGGAGACUGGAAUUCCUGGUGUAGCGGUGAAAUGCGCAGAUAUCGGGAGGAACACCGGUGGCGAAGGCGGUUCUCUGGGCCUUACCUGACGCUGAGGAGCGAAAGCGUGGGGAGCGAACAGG